UUAGAUGGACACUAAUGCAGUCCCAUAAACA
rnacentral:tRNA from 1 species